UACGUAGGGGGCAAGCGUUGUCCGGAUUUAUUGGGCGUAAAGAGCGUGUAGGCGGCCAAGCAGGUCCGCUGUGAAAACUCGAGGCUCAACCUCGAGACGUCGGUGGAAACCGUUUGGCUAGAGUCCGGAAGAGGAGAGUGGAAUUCCCGGUGUAGCGGUGAAAUGCGCAGAUAUCAGGAGGAACACCGAUGGCGAAGGCAGGUCUCUGGGCCACUACUGACGCUGAGAAGCGAAAGCGUGGGGAGCGAACAGG
rnacentral:rRNA from 1 species